rnacentral:rRNA from 1 species
GACGAACGCUGGCGGCGUGCCUAAUACAUGCAAGUUGAGCGCUGAAGGUUGGUACUUGUACCAACUGGAUGAGCAGCGAACGGGUGAGUAACGCGUGGGGAAUCUGCCUUUGAGCGGGGGACAACAUUUGGAAACGAAUGCUAAUACCGCAUAAAAACUUUAAACACAAGUUUUAAGUUUGAAAGAUGCAAUUGCAUCACUCAAAGAUGAUCCCGCGUUGUAUUAGCUAGUUGGUGAGGUAAAGGCUCACCAAGGCGAUGAUACAUAGCCGACCUGAGAGGGUGAUCGGCCACAUUGGGACUGAGACACGGCCCAAACUCCUACGGGAGGCAGCAGUAGGGAAUCUUCGGCAACGGACGAAAGUCUGACCGAGCAACGCCGCGUGAGUGAAGAAGGGUUUCGGAUCGUAAAACUCUGUUGGUAGAGAAGAACGUUGGUGAGAGUGGAAAGCUCAUCAAGUGACGGUAACUACCCAGAAAGGGACGGCUAACUACGUG